UGUUGAUGGCUGGACAUUGCAUCAUCCUAGAAACCUUGGAGGCCAGUGAGGACAAAAAUAAAAAGUUAUAAGACUUUUAAGAAUGUGGAUUUUUGGGUUAUCUUUGGCGCCGCCUAGAACCUAAACCGUGGGGUGCAGCGUCAUGAUUUGUACAACUUUUAAUGGCCAUGGGGUGUAAAUUGGCCUGAGCAAAUGUGGUGCCGGUGGAACGAAAGCCUUCGGAGGAGUUAGCGAAAUUCCAAUGUGUGCGGAUCGGCAAAAAAAGCGAAAUAGCCCUUUAACCAUACAUUUGACAGAUACGCCCGCACUGACUUUUUCGUAGAUCUUAUUGAGAUACACAUGUGUGUCAAAUUUUCUGUCAUUUUGACAAAGCGUACAGGCAUCAGGUGAGUUUUCACCAUAGGGGGCGCUAUGGAGCCAUUUUUCAUUUUUUUGUUUGGACGACUUCAGAAUAUCAAAUUUUUCACCAGGCCCGGUCGUCCUGCCAAAUUUCCUGAGUUUUCGCCAGUGGGAAGUGGGCCAUUUUCCAGUUUAAAGCGGAGGAAAAAUAACGAAAGAAGAAUCCAUCAGGAACAAGAGGGCUCUCGCAGCUGCUUAGCAGCUACGCUCGGGCCCUAAUAAUAACAAAAGAAGAAUCCAUCAGGAACAAGAGGGCUCUCGCAGCUGCUUAGCAGCUACGCUCGGGCCCUAAAAAACCACUUGGGGAAUAAUAGGGCCUACGCCCGGCUGCUCUGCAGCUGGCUCGGGCCCUAAUAACAAAAGAAGGAAACUACAGGAACAAGAGGGCUCUCGCAGCUGCUUAGCAGCUACGCUCGGGCCCUAAAGAAAGAAACAAAGAAAAACCACUUGGGGAAUAAUAGGGCUCUCGCAGCUGCUUAGCAGCUACGCUCGGGCCCUAAAAAGAAACAAAGAAAAAACCACUUGGGGAAUAAUAGGGCUCUCGCAGCUGCUUAGCAGCUACGCUCGGGCCCUAAGAAACAAAGAAAAACCACUUGGGGAAUAAUAGGGCUCUCGCAGCUGCUUAGCAGCUACGCUCGGGCCCUAAUAACGAAAGAAGGAAACAUGCAGGAACAAGAGGGCUCUCGCAGCUGCUUAGCAGCUACGCUCGGGCCCUAACAAGGGGCGGGCGCUUACGUUCUUCCUGCAAUAUGAGAAGGGAGGGAGGGACUCUCAGCAGGGAUGCAGUCUGGGACACGUAGUUGCAAACCUAGCGACUUUGUUGUUAGAUUCAAUGACUUUUCAGACCCCCUAACGACUUUUUUUUAGAAAGAAAGUGACUUUUAUCGACUUCUUCUGGAGUUUAGAGACUCUGACAUGAAGCAGGCUUUCCUUACUGAGGAGUUAG